rnacentral:rRNA from 1 species
AGUGAACGCUGGCGGUAGGCCUAACACAUGCAAGUCGAACGGCAGCACAGUAAGAGCUUGCUCUUACGGGUGGCGAGUGGCGGACGGGUGAGGAAUACAUCGGAAUCUACUUUUUCGUGGGGGAUAACGUAGGGAAACUUACGCUAAUACCGCAUACGACCUACGGGUGAAAGCAGGGGAUCUUCGGACCUUGCGCGAUUGAAUGAGCCGAUGUCGGAUUAGCUAGUUGGCGGGGUAAAGGCCCACCAAGGCGACGACCCGUAGCUGGUCUGAGAGGAUGAUCAGCCACACUGGAACUGAGACACGGUCCAGACUCCUACGGGAGGCGGCAGUGGGGAAUAUUGGACAAUGGGCGCAAGCCUGAUCCAGCCAUACCGCGUGGGUGAAGAAGGCCUUCGGGUUGUAAAGCCCUUUUGUUGGGAAAGAAAAGCAGCAGGUUAAUACCCCGCUGUUCUGACGGUACCCAAAGAAUAAGCACCGGCUAACUUCGUG